AGGUUCUUUUACAGUGGAAGGAAUAGAUGUGACUGGCUAUCCUAUAUUUAAGGAGGCAAAGGCAGGUGCAAAAGGCUAUUGCAUUUUCAAAAAGAGCUCACCAUGGGCAGUUCAGGAAAACAGGAGAGCCAUAUUUAUCACAUUGCAUUCACACAGGAAGAAUCUUAGCUAUGUUGGUUCCAUCAAGUGGCCUACGAGCUAUAGACACAGUUGUGGCUGGGAUAUUACAUGAUG